rnacentral:rRNA from 1 species
AUGCUGCCUUGUGUUUAUCUAGAUUAUAAAAGUAUGGUGGCACAUGAUUUUAUUAUUAAGAAUAGGGCAGGAGAGCUUAAAUAUCAAUUGUUCUUUAAUAAACAUCAUCCUGAGACUAUUACCUUGCCCGUUCCUACUUUGUUUGAUUUGACUGUAGGCAGGUACCUUGUUCCGUUGACGGCUAUUCACGCCUACCGGAACCCUGCACCAGCCGAGGAGCCAGAACCGGAACCACAAUUUGAUCCUUCACGACAGUCUAACUAUCAGUGGGAUCCGGAGAUGAUUGCCAACCAGUGGCAAUCGGAGCCUUCUUCUUCCUCAUCGCAGUACGACCCCAACUAA